AUGAACGCUAGCUACAGGCUUAACACAUGCAAGUCGAGGGGCAGCAUGGUCUUAGCUUGCUAAGGCCGAUGGCGACCGGCGCACGGGUGAGUAACACGUAUCCAACCUGCCGUCUACUCUUGGACAGCCUUCUGAAAGGAAGAUUAAUACAAGAUGGCAUCAUGAGUCCACAUGUUCACAUGAUUAAAGGUAUUCCGGUAGACGAUGGGGAUGCGUUCCAUUAGAUAGUAGGCGGGGUAACGGCCCACCUAGUCUUCGAUGGAUAGGGGUUCUGAGAGGAAGGUCCCCCACAUUGGAACUGAGACACGGUCCAAACUCCUACGGGAGGCAGCAGUGAGGAAUAUUGGUCAAUGGGCGAGAGCCUGAACCAGCCAAGUAGCGUGAAGGAUGACUGCCCUAUGGGUUGUAAACUUCUUUUAUAAAGGAAUAAAGUCGGGUAUGCAUACCCGUUUGCAUGUACUUUAUGAAUAAGGAUCGGCUAACUCCGUGCCAGCAGCCGCGGUAAUACGGAGGAUCCGAGCGUUAUCCGGAUUUAUUGGGUUUAAAGGGAGCGUAGAUGGAUGUUUAAGUCAGUUGUGAAAGUUUGCGGCUCAACCGUAAAAUUGCAGUUGAUACUGGAUAUCUUGAGUGCAGUUGAGGCAGGCGGAAUUCGUGGUGUAGCGGUGAAAUGCUUAGAUAUCACGAAGAACUCCGAUUGCGAAGGCAGCCUGCUAAGCUGCAACUGACAUUGAGGCUCGAAAGUGUGGGUAUCAAACAGGAUUAGAUACCCUGGUAGUCCACACGGUAAACGAUGAAUACUCGCUGUUUGCGAUAUACUGCAAGCGGCCAAGCGAAAGCGUUAAGUAUUCCACCUGGGGAGUACGCCGGCAACGGUGAAACUCAAAGGAAUUGACGGGGGCCCGCACAAGCGGAGGAACAUGUGGUUUAAUUCGAUGAUACGCGAGGAACCUUACCCGGGCUUAAAUUGCAGAUGAAUUACGGUGAAAGCCGUAAGCCGCAAGGCAUCUGUGAAGGUGCUGCAUGGUUGUCGUCAGCUCGUGUCGUGAGAUGUUGGGUUAAGUCCCGCAACGAGCGCAACCCCUGUUUCUAGUUGCCAGCACGUCAAGGUGGGAACUCUAGAAAGACUGCCGUAGAUAAUACGGAGGAAGGUGGGGAUGACGUCAAAUCAGCACGGCCCUUACGUCCGGGGCUACACACGUGUUACAAUGGGGGGUACAGAGGGCCGCUACCACGCGAGUGGAUGCCAAUCCCAAAAACCUCUCUCAGUUCGGACUGGAGUCUGCAACCCGACUCCACGAAGCUGGAUUCGCUAGUAAUCGCGCAUCAGCCACGGCGCGGUGAAUACGUUCCCGGGCCUUGUACACACCGCCCGUCACACCAUGAGAGUUGGGAAUACCCGAAGCCUGUGAGCCAACUAUUUAUAGAGGCAGCAGUCGAAGGUAGAAUCAAUGAUUGGGGUG
rnacentral:rRNA from 1 species